UUGAACGCUGGCGGCAGGCCUAACACAUGCAAGUCGAGCGCGAAAGGUUUUCGGACUGAGUAAAGCGGCGGACGGGUGAGUAACGCGUGGGAAUCUACUCAGUAGUGGGGGACAACAGUCGGAAACGACUGCUAAUACAGCAUACGCCCUACGGGGGAAAGGGGGGGAUCUUCGGACCUCUCGCUAUUGGAUGAGCCCGCGUCGGAUUAGCUAGUUGGUAGGGUAAAGGCCUACCAAGGCUACGAUCCGUAACUGGUCUGAGAGGAUGAUCAGUCACACUGGAACUGAGACACGGUCCAGACUCCUACGGGAGGCAGCAGUGGGGAAUAUUGGACAAUGGGGGCAACCCUGAUCCAGCCAUGCCGCGUGUGUGAAGAAGGCCUUAGGGUUGUAAAGCACUUUCAGUGGGGAGAAAGGUUUGUCACCUAAUACGUGAUGAAAUUGAUGUUACCCACAGAAGAAGCACCGGCUAACUCCGUGCCAGCAGCCGCCGCCG
rnacentral:rRNA from 1 species